CGCCCCUCAGGGCCCUCGCCCAAGGGUGAGCGCGCGCUUGCGCCACAGACGCUGCCUGGCCGCGCGCGCAGGCGCAGGCGCAGGCGCAGAGGCCGACACCACGGGGCGGCUGGUAUGUGUCCACCGGCCCCUAGGCGCCUCGAGCCCCGCCCCUGGGAGACGCAGGCUCCUCCCCGCGGAGCGAGAGCCCGCGGAGCUGCUCCGAGACCCGCGGGAGGGCACCUCCGGUCACCCGAGCCGCAAAUCCCCGCCGUCCGAAGGGGGUGUCGCCCCGGGCUGUCGGCCCAGCGUGGCUUAGGCCAGGUACAACCGGCAGCGCCCGCCAAGCCCUGGGCUAGGGACGCCUGCGGGAGUUCACGGGGAGGCGCCGGUGUCUGAGGUCUGAGAAGACAGCGGCCACCGGAAAAGGUGCUAAUGUUUGCAGACCCCGAUCCAUCGACACCCCAAGGAAAUGCUGUGCACAAAAUUCCAAGAGGGCCUUUUCGAAUAGACGCAUGAACGGUGUUUGUGUCUGGAUCGUCCAGCCUCCCGGGAUCGAUUGGGAAUCUAGCUUCUGCUUGCCUUUCCAGCGCGACGCACAGUAGGAGCCUAAUAAAUGUUUGCUGAAUGAAUGCUGAAUAUCGAACUCAGAGCCGGGCACGACAGCUGCGGGCACAGGGAGCAAUCGCCUGGAGCCAGAGGGGGCAACGCCAGCCCAAGGGCAAAUGGGCAACCCUGUGCAAAAGGCUCUGGCAACCAGAUCAUCUACUUUAGAAGAAAGGAGAAGAAAAAGAGCCCCCAGGAGAGGAAGUAGCCCCUAACCCGACUGACAAGCAAUCCGUUCGCAAAGACAGAAGGGCCUUCAGUGAAUUGGUUUCAAAGUGCUUGAUUUCUUAAAACCAGAACAAUUGAUCAUUAGAGAACUGAUUAAGCUACAGCCGCUGUUGAAUAAAAGGUAAAAAUAAACUCCUUCAUUUGAAUUCCAAAUUCAGGCUUGGAGGUGACCUAGCCAUGAGGCAAACUGGCUGUGGGUGGACAGGGCUGCACACGGAGCUGGUGGGUGGACGUCACCUGAAGUCUUCUCUCCUCCCAAAGUGUGGGUGCUGGGACCCCAAGGGCACAGUGUGAAUGUCCCCAGCACUUAACACCAGGGUAGCCCAGGUACAGAGGCUGCUGAGGGGCUGGUGCAGGUUCUCC
rnacentral:lncRNA from 10 species